GUGUUACCCCUGUUGGUUUAAAAAACCAAAGGGAAUGAAAUCCCUAAAUGUAGCACCAAUUUCAGCAGCUUUUAUGGCAAUGGCGUGAUGGACCGAAGCAACAGGAUUAUUGGAAUCUCUUUCUCCUUCUACGGUGACCAUUCAGAGGCAGCGAGGGUCACCGGAGCAUGAUCCAGCGGCUGGAAGUGGUGGAAGGCACAUCAGUGGUAACCAUGGGCUCACAGAUUUGGAAAACCCGACCGCCUCACCACGGUUUGGCAACAGCAGCGCCACCACUAGUGGCUUUAACGGCGAAGAUGAAUGUGUCCCUAUUUGGACGCGGUUUAGAUGAAAGUGUUGUGGUUCUGGCUGGCAGUAUAAUGAGGAAGGUGGUCCCGUCGCGGGGUGAAUGAGUCGUCGGAGAUAACUCUUUCUUCUUCUUUUUCGGUCACUGCACCGGUAAGGUUUCUGACACUUCAUGGUGGUCUCGCGGUGGCUACUAAGAAUCUGUACGGUUUAGGAUGUCUCCUAAUUGAUGUACUACUAUCACCCGUUAUAUCACUUAAUCUUUUUGCUAAAAUUCCUAAUGGGAAGAUGACAUAAAAGUAUGAACACAUGAUAUUUU
rnacentral:lncRNA from 1 species